rnacentral:rRNA from 1 species
AAACAUGUCUUUUUGAGUUAAAUUUAAAGUCUGACCUGCCCACUGAAUAAUUUUAAAUGGCCGCAGUAUUUUGACUGUGCAAAGGUAGCAUAAUCAUUAGUCUUUUAAUUGAAGGCUGGUAUGAAUGGUUGGACGAAGUAUAAUCUGUUUCAUAUGAAUUUAUAAUAGAAUUUAAUUUUUUAGUAAAAAAGCUAAAAUUUUAUUGAAAGACGAGAAGACCCUAUAAAUCUUUAUAUUUAAUUUUAUUUUAAUUUUUUGGAUUUAUUUUAUUUUUAUAAUAUUGAAUAUUUUGUUGGGGUGAUGUUAAAAUUUAAUGAACUUUUAAUUAUUUAAAAUCAUUAAUUUAUGAAUUGUUGAUCCAAUAUUUAUUGAUUAUAAGAUUAAGUUACUUUAGGGAUAACAGCGUAAUUUUUUUUGAGAGUUCAUAUCGACAGAAAAGUUUGCGACCUCGAUGUUGGAUUAAGGUAUAAUUUUGGGUGUAGCUGUUCAAAUAUUAAGUCUGUUCGACUUUUAAAUCCUUACAUGAUC